AGGAAAAUACAAAGUGAACGCUUUUAUGUCACUCAAUAACAUAAUAAGAAAAUUUUUGUGCAAUUAUUGUCUUUAUUAAAAAUUACAAAUACGACGAUAAAUAACUUAAUGGACAUCUUGAUGAAAAUCUACGGCCUCAAAAGGCGGGAAAUAAAAUUUUUCGAAGGCGUUGAAAUUUCAACCUGUAAAAUAAAAGUCUUGUUUCAUUUCUAAACGGUGAAUAAAGCGAUGAUAUAUGACUAGAGAGAUAUCAGCAGUAAGUCAAUUGUGCGUUUUCAGAAAGGAUAAAAAAAAUUAUCGGAGGUAUGCAGGCAUCAAAAGUACAGCGAUUCAGAAAACCUUGACAGACAUCAAUCAGAACCGCAACAAACAAGAGGGGCCGGUCGGGUGAGAGAGCAAAGAUGACUAAUAUCGUUGAUGUUGCCAGGUGCCAAACGAUUUAAAGAAAAAUUUAAAAGUCGCCAGAAUGUUUUAGUGCAUUA